rnacentral:tRNA from 1 species
AAGGAUUUAAGUUAAAUGAAACAAACUACCAGCCUUCAAAGCUGUCAUCGGAGGUGUCUAAGCCUUA